CCCUUAGAUGUCCUGGGCUGCACGCGCGCUACACUGAUGUGUCCAGUAAGCACCUAACCUAUUCCGAGAGGAGCGGGUAACCUUAGCAAAGCACAUCGUGAUGGGGAUAGAUUAUUGCAAUUAUUAGUCUUGAACGAGGAAUUCCUAAUAAGCACAAGUCAUCAGCUUGUGUUGAUUACGUCCCUGCCCUUUGUACACACCGCCCGUCGCUCCUACCGAUUGAAUGUUCCGGUGAGCUCUUCGGACUGCGCGGUCUGCAGUUUCUGCGUUCCGUGCGGAAAGUUGUGCAAACCUUAACAUUUAGAGGAAGGAGAAGUCGUAACA
rnacentral:rRNA from 1 species